AGAACGAACGCUGGCGGCAGGCUUAACACAUGCAAGUCGAACGCGUGUAGCAAUACACGAGUGGCGCACGGGUGAGUAACGCGUGGAUAUCUGCCUUUUGGUUCGGAAUAACCCCGGGAAACUGGGGCUAAAUACCGGAUGGUUCCUUCGGGAUAAAGAUUUAUCGCCAAAAAGAUGAGUCCGCGUCCGAUUAGCUAGUUGGUGAGGUAAUGGCUCACCAAGGCGACGAUCGGUAGCUGGUCUGAGAGGACGAUCAGCCACACUGGGACUGAGACACGGCCCAGACUCCUACGGGAGGCAGCAGUGGGGAAUAUUGGACAAUGGGGGCAACCCUGAUCCAGCCAUGCCGCGUGAGUGAUGAAGGCCUUCGGGUUGUAAAGCUCGUUUUGGCGGGACGAUGAUGACGGUACCCGCAGAAUAAGCCCCGGCUAACUUCGUGCCAGCAGCCGC
rnacentral:rRNA from 1 species